AAUAAGAUAGACUAAAGAAGUCAGUGGACUCAUAACCCAUAUAUGGGAACUUUCCCUCUUAUUA
rnacentral:tRNA from 1 species